GACGAACGCUGGCGGCGUGCUUAACACAUGCAAGUCGAACGGAAAGGCCCUGCUUUUGUGGGGUGCUCGAGUGGCGAACGGGUGAGUAACACGUGAGUAACCUGCCCUUGACUUUGGGAUAACUUCAGGAAACUGGGGCUAAUACCGGAUAGGAGCCCCUGCUGCAUGGGGGGGGUUGGAAAGUUUCGGCGGUUGGGGAUGGACUCGCGGCUUAUCAGCUUGUUGGUGGGGUAGUGGCUUACCAAGGCUUUGGCGGGUAGCCGGCCUGAGAGGGUGACCGGCCACAUUGGGACUGAGAUACGGCCCAGACUCCUACGGGAGGCAGCAGUGGGGAAUAUUGCACAAUGGGCGGAAGCCUGAUGCAGCAACGCCGCGUGCGGGAUGACGGCCUUCGGGUUGUAAACCGCUUUCGCCUGUGACGAAGCGUGAGUGACGGUAAUGGGUAAAGAAGCACCGGCUAACUACGUG
rnacentral:rRNA from 1 species